rnacentral:rRNA from 1 species
UACGUAGGGUGCAAGCGUUGUCCGGAAUUAUUGGGCGUAAAGAGCUCGUAGGCGGUUUGUCACGUCGGCCGUGAAAACUCGGGGCUCAACUCCGAGUCCUGCGGUCGAUACGGGCAGACUAGAGUGCUGUAGGGGAGACUGGAAUUCCUGGUGUAGCGGUGAAAUGCGCAGAUAUCAGGAGGAACACCGGUGGCGAAGGCGGGUCUCUGGGCAGUAACUGACGCUGAGGAGCGAAAGCGUGGGGAGCGAACAGG